AACGCACAUUGCGCCCUUUGGUAUUCCGAAGGGCAUGCCUGUUCGAGCGUCAUUAUCACCCCUCAAGCCCUGUGCUUGAUGUUGGACGGCUUUGGUCGAGUGUCUUCGACCCCUCCUAAAGACAAUGACGGCGGCCUGUGGCGCUCCCGGUACACUGAGCUUUUAACUAGGCACGUAUCGGAUAAGGGCGCCCAGGACACGGUCCUUCCUCCCUUAAGUGGGAAAGUUUUCAAGGUUGACCUCGGAUCAGGUAGGAAUACGCGCUGAACUUAA
rnacentral:misc_RNA from 1 species